rnacentral:rRNA from 1 species
GAUGAACGCUGGCGGCGUGCCUAAUACAUGCAAGUCGAGCGAACUGAUUAGAAGCUGGCUUCUAUGACGUUAGCGGCGGACGGGUGAGUAACACGUGGGCAACCUGCCUGUAAGACUGGGAUAACUUCGGGAAACCGAAGCUAAUACCGGAUAGAAUCUUCUCCUUCAUGGGAGAUGAUUGAAAGAUGGUUACGGCUAUCACUUACAGAUGGGCCUGCGGUGCAUUAGCUAGUUGGUGAGGUAACGGCUCACCAAGGCAACGAUGCAUAGCCGACCUGAGAGGGUGAUCGGCCACGCUGGGACUGAGACACGGCCCAGACUCCUACGGGAGGCAGCAGUAGGGAAUCUUCCGCAAUGGACGAAAGUCUGACGGAGCAACGCCGCGUGAGUGAUGAAGGCUUUCGGGUCGUAAAACUCUGUUGUUAGGGAAGAACAGGUACGAGAGUAACUGCUCGUACCUCGACGGUACCUAACCAGAAAGCCACGGCUAACUACGUGCCAGCCGCCGCCGUAA